rnacentral:rRNA from 1 species
UACAGAGGGGGCAAGCGUUAUUCGGAAUUACUGGGCGUAAAGGGCGCGUAGGCGGGAUGGCAAGUCGGUCGUGAAAUCCCUCGGCUCAACUGAGGAUCGUCGAUCGAUACUGCCGUUCUUGAGGAUUGCAGAGGAGACUGGAAUUCCCGGUGUAGCGGUGAAAUGUGUAGAGAUCGGGAGGAACACCGGUGGCGCAGGCGGGUCUCUGGGCAAUUCCUGACGCUGAGGCGCGAAAGCGUGGGGAGCAAACGGG